rnacentral:lncRNA from 1 species
CCCAAGUGCUUAUUUUGUGUGUUCUUUCGAUUUCUGAGUUUAAUUAAUUGGUGCAUUUUUCUGAGUUUAAUAUCAUCAAUAUAGUGCUUCUUAAUAUAUAUCGUCAAAUAUGUAAUAUUGAAAUAUGAUGCUAUGAAAUGCUUAAGAUAUUGACAGUAUAGUACAUUAAUGCAAUCUCUUUAUCACACCCUGCAAUUCAUGAAGUGUAAGCUUGAGAUACGUAUCCUUACAGUUUUUACAAGAAAGUUAACUUUAUCCUUUCUAGGAACAUUCCUACCCUGGUGACAUUUUCGCUGUAUUUCUGAUGGAUUCCAGAUUUCUAGUGGAUUUAGCUUAGGGUUUUCGUUGGAUUGUGGUCUUAGGCCCCGUUUGGGAUUGACGUGAUUUUAAAAAAAGCCACUGUGAAAAAAAGCUGAGAUUCAUUUUUGUGUUUGGUAAACUGAAAAAAAAGGGCUUAUUUUGGAAGCUGCUGUGAGAAUAAGCUGAAAAUCAAAGGAAAAGCUGAAGCUGCUAUUUGCUGCUUUGAAAAAAAGUCAGUUUUUUCAAAGCACACGGAGCUACAGUGCUCCUUUAAUGAAAAUACACACUAUUAUCCUGCUUUUUUUUUCAAAAGCACUUUCACAAAAAAGUUUACCAAACACUCUACUGGCUUUAUUUCACAGCUGCUUAUUCUCACAGCACAGCCGCUUAUUCUCACAGCAGCUUUUUUUCAAAGCACAGCAAUACCAAACCAGCCUGUGGUGAAGAAAAAUCAGAGGACAGGGAGGGGAAACUUAUGCUUCAAGACGAAACUAAAG